rnacentral:rRNA from 1 species
AUACGUAUGGACCGAGCGUUGUCCGGAAUCAUUGGGCGUAAAGGGUACGUAGGCGGCCUAGUAAGUUAGAAGUUAAAGAAUAUAGCUCAACUAUAUAAAGCUUUUAAAACUGCUAGGCUUGAGAGAUGGAAGGGAAAGUGGAAUUCCUAGUGUAGCGGUGAAAUGCGCAGAUAUUAGGAAGAAUACCGGUGGCGAAGGCGACUUUCUGGUCAUCAUCUGACGCUGAUGUACGAAAGCGUGGGUAGCAAACAGGAUUAGAUACCCUGGUAGUCCACGCUGUAAACGAUGAGUGUUAGGUUCUUGGAAUAAUCUGGGAGCCGCAGCUAACGCAUUAAACACUCCGCCUGGGGAGUACGCACGCAAGUGUGAA